rnacentral:ncRNA from 2 species
UUAGUGACGCGCAUGAAUG